rfam:Canis lupus familiaris chromosome 13, whole genome shotgun sequence.
AGCUUUGUGCAGUGGCAGUAUGGUAGCCAAUGAGGUUUAUCCAAGGUACGGUUUUUGCUAAUUGAUUAUAAAGAUGUCCAUUAGUAUAAUAAUUGAAACCUUAUUAAAAGUAAG